rnacentral:rRNA from 1 species
GACGAACGCUGGCGGCGUGCUUAACACAUGCAAGUCGAGCGGUAAGGCCCUUUCGGGGGUACGACGAGCGGCGAACGGGUGAGUAACACGUGGGUGACCUACCCUCAGCUCUGGGAUAAGCCCGGGAAACUGGGUCUAAUACCGGAUAUGACUCCAUGACGCAUGUUGUGGGGUGGAAAGCCUUGUGCGGCUGAGGAUGGGCCCGCGGCCUAUCAGCUUGUUGGUGGGGUGAUGGCCUACCAAGGCGACGACGGGUAGCCGGCCUGAGAGGGCGACCGGCCACACUGGGACUGAGAUACGGCCCAGACUCCUACGGGAGGCAGCAGUGGGGAAUCUUGCGCAAUGGCGAAAGCCUGACGCAGCGACGCCGCGUGAGGAUGACGGCCUGUGU